GGAGAGAUUCCCGAGCGGUCAAAGGGGGCAGACUGUAAAUCUGCUGGCUGAUGUCUUCGUAGGUUCGAAUCCUACUCUCUCCA
rnacentral:tRNA from 2 species